UGAAACGCUGGCGGCAUGCUUUACACAUGCAAGUCGAACGGGGUGAGGGGGCAACUCCUCGCUCAGUGGCGAACGGGUGAGUAAUGCAUCGGAACGUGUCCGUAAGUGGGGGAUAACCCGGCGAAAGCCGUGACUAAUACCGCAUAUGCUCUUACGGAGGAAAGCAGGGGGACCGCAAGGCCUUGUGCUAUUCGGGAGCGGCCGAUGUCCGAUUAGCUUGUUGGUGGGGUAAUGGCCUACCAAGGCGACGAUCGGUAGCUGGUCUGAGAGGAUGAUCAGCCACACUGGGACUGAGACACGGCCCAGACUCCUACGGGAGGCAGCAGUGGGGAAUUUUGGACAAUGGGCGCAAGCCCUGAUCCAGCCAUUGCCGCGUGAGUGAAUGAAGGCCUUAGGGUUUGUAAAGCUCUUUGCGGAAAGGCACAGGCUAACUGAUGUAUGACGGUAGCCGUGCAGAAUAAGCCCCCGGCUAACUACCGUGCCAGCAGCCGCGGUAAUACGGAGGGGGGCAGAGCGUUGUUAAUCGGAAUUACUGGGCGUUAAAGGGCGCGCAGGCGGUCGUGCUCAGUCAGGCUGUGAAAGCCCUGAGGCUCAACCCUGGGAAUUGCGCAUUGAGAACUGGGCUGGCUUGAGUGCGGGAGAGGAUGGGUGGAAUUCCCAGUGUAGAGGUGAAAUGCGUAGAGAUAGUGGGAGAGAACACCGGAUGGCGGAAGGCGGCCAUCUGGACCGCAACUGACGCUGCAGGCCCGAAAGCGUGGGGAGCAAACAGGAUUAGAUACCCUGGUAGUCCACGCCCCUAAACGAUGGGUGCUAGGCGUAGGAGGUAUCGACCCCCUCCUGUGCCGCAGCUAACGCACUAAGCAUCCCGCCUGGGGACUACGGCCGCAAGGUUGAAACUCAAAUGAAUUGACGGGGACCCGCACAAGCGGUGGAGCAUGUGGAUUAAUUCGAUACUAACCGAAGAACCUUACCCAGGUUUGACAUCGAGGGAAAAACCUAUGAAAGUAGGUCCUCGCCCACAAGGCGACCCGAAGACAGAUGUUGCAUGGCUGUCGUCAGCUCGUGCCGUGAGGUGUACGGUUAAGUCCGCCAACGAGCGCAACCCUCGUCCUGUGUUACCAGCGGGUCAAGUCGGGAACUCACAGGAGACCGCCGGUUGUAAGCCGGAGGAAGGUGGGGAUGGACGUCAAGUCAGCAUGGCUCUUACGCCUGGGGCUUCACACAUGCUACAAUGGGUGCAACAGAGGGCAGCAAUACCGUGAGGUGGAGCUAAUCCCAAAAAUACGCCCCCCAGUUCAGAUUGCAGUCUGCAACUCGACUGCAUGAAGGCGGAAUCGCUAGUAAACGCAGGUCAGCUAUACUGCGUUGAAUACGUUCCCGGGUCUUGUACACACCGCCCGUCAAGUCACCUGAAUUGUCUUCACCCGAAGUCCGUGGCCUAACCGCAAGGAAGGAGCGGCCGAAGGUGAGGGGAGUAAGGGGGACU
rnacentral:rRNA from 1 species